GAACGGGGCUUAUGAAGUUUUCGGACGGAGUAAGCCUAGUGGCGGACGGGUGAGUAACGCGUGGGUAACCUGCCCUAUACAGGGGGAUAACAGCCGGAAACGGCUGCUAAAACCGCAUAACAUGCGGGCGGCGCAUGCCGCCUGCAUCAAAUAUUCAUAGGUAUAGGAUGGGCCCGCGUCUGAUUAGCUGGUUGGCGGGGUAACGGCCCACCAAGGCGACGAUCAGUAGCCGGCUUGAGAGAGUGACCGGCCACAUUGGGACUGAGACACGGCCCAAACUCCUACGGGAGGCAGCAGUGGGGAAUAUUGCACAAUGGGGGGAACCCUGAUGCAGCGACGCCGCGUGAGUGAAGAAGUAUUUCGGUAUGUAAAGCUCUAUCAGCAGGGAAGAAAAUGACGGUACCUGACUAAGAAGCCCCGGCUAACUACGUGCCAGCAGCCGCGGUAAU
rnacentral:rRNA from 1 species